GCUGUCGUUGCGGAGUGGUUAAGGCGCUAGUCUAGAAAUCUUUUUGGAUCUUCCUGUGAAGGUUGGAAUACUGCCGACAACG
rnacentral:tRNA from 1 species